CCAGCAACUUGGAGGAAUGUACAGCAAUAGCUGAUUGCACCAACAAAUGGUUGAUGCAAUAUUGACUCUGUCAAAUAAAAUUCUAGGUAGAAUUAUGAUAAUGACAUUGUCUGCCUAUAUGUCUUGACCAAAUUACGUGCCAGCAGUCGCGGUAAUACGUAGAAGACUAGUGUUAUUCAUCUUUAAUAGGUUUAAAGGGUACCUAGACGGUAAAUCAAGCCUUCACAGGGACUAAUUUACUAGAGUUACUUACGAGGGGGUAUUAAAGUACUGCAGGUGUAGAGAUGAAAUUCUGUCAUACCUCUUUUCAAAAGAAAAAUUAUGGCACAGGUAUAGGUGAAAGCAUCCCCUUAUGUGAUAACUGACGUUGAAGGACGAAGGCUUUGUGUCGCGAACAGGAUUAGAUACCCCAGUAGUCAAAGCAGAAAAUGAUGAAUGUCAUAGAUUAGAUAUAUAGUUUAUUCUAUAAAUGAAAAUGUAAGCAUUCCACCUCAAGAGUAAUUUGGCAACAUUGGAACUGAAAUCAUUAGACCGUUUCUGAAACCAGUAGUGAAGUAUGUUGUUUAAUUUGAUGAUCCGCAAAAAACCUUACCACAAUUUGAAUAUUUGUAUCUAUCUUUUUUUCGUAAAGAAAUAAAAAGCUAAUAUAUUUACAAGCGUUGCACGGCUGUCUUCAGUUAAUGUCGCGAGACUUUGGUUAGUUCCAUUUAAUUAACGUAAACCCUUACUUUAUUUUUAUAUGAAGUAGUUCCCCGCUAUAUUGGAUAUGAUAACAGGGACUAGG
rnacentral:rRNA from 1 species